rnacentral:rRNA from 1 species
UACGUAGGGUGCGAGCGUUAAUCGGAAUUACUGGGCGUAAAGCGUGCGCAGGCGGUUUUGUAAGCCAGAUGUGAAAUCCCCGGGCUUAACCUGGGAAUGGCAUUUGGGACUGCAAGGCUUGAGUGCGGCAGAGGAGACUGGAAUUCCUGGUGUAGCAGUGAAAUGCGUAGAUAUCAGGAGGAACACCGAUGCGAAGGCAGGUCUCUGGGCUGACACUGACGCUCAUGCACCGAAAGCGUGGGGAGCAAACAGGAUUAGA